UAGGGAAUCUUCGGCAAUGGGGGGAACCCUGACCGAGCAACGCCGCGUGAGUGAAGAAGGUUUUCGGAUCGUAAAGCUCUGUUGUUAAGGAAGAACGAGUGUGAGAAUGGAAAGUUCAUGCUGUGACGGUACUUAACCAGAAAGGGACGGCUAACUACUUGCCAGCAGCCGCGGUAAUACGUAGGUCCCGAGCGUUGUCCGGAUUUAUUGGGCGUAAAGCGAGCGCAGGCGGGUAGAAAAGUCUGAAGUGAAAGGCAGUGGCUCAACCAUUGUAGGCUUUUGAAAAAGGUUAACUUGAGUGCAGAAGGGGAGAGUGGAAUUCCAUGUGUCGCGGUGAAAUGCGUAGAUAUAUGGAGGAACACCGGUGGCGAAAGCGGCUCUCUGGUCUGUAACUGACGCUGAGGCUCGAAAGCGUGGGGAGCGAACAGG
rnacentral:rRNA from 1 species